rnacentral:sRNA from 1 species
GUCAGAGGAACAAAGACUAAAUACGCCGCGUCCUGCGGCAGCGUCUUUGUGAUCCCCAUUCUGAGGG